UGUUUUUUUUCUUAAUGACGCCAGAAGAGUCUUUUUGCAGCACCGCCAUUUUCUCACUUUAACGUUGUGAUGUUCUUGCUGGAGUUUCUUCCCAAAUACCUGCGUCGGUUAUCUUUCAAAUUUGUUUUGGCAGACAGUACAAACCAGCUCUUCAUCGUGUUAAUUGAGCCGUGGACCUUCAUCUUAGUCAGUUUAAGAAUUAUACCUGAUCUUCCUGUUUCUGUCCAGACUAAGAGGAUCCAGUACACUCGAUAGAAUUACACCCGAUCUUCCUGUUUCUGUCCAGACUAAGAGGAUCCAGUACACUCGAUAGGAAACCGACAUUGAAGACCAUGUGACGGCAGGAAUGGAUGUGGGCAUUCUCAUAAUUCCUGAUGGAGAUGAUGCCUUUGACUACGUGGUGCUGGAGGAACAGAUUGCCCUGAGAGAUGCCAUAGACCUCCCUCAUGC